rnacentral:rRNA from 1 species
AGCUUGCUUCUCUGCCGGCGAGUGGCGAACGGGUGAGUAAUACAUCGGAACGUGUCGAGAAGAGGGGGAUAACCACCCGAAAGGGUGGCUAAUACCGCAUAAAUUCUGAGGAAGAAAGCUGGGGACCUAGGAAUAGGCCUAGCGCUUUUUGAGCGGCCGAUGUCGGAUUAGCUAGUUGGUGAGGUAAAGGCUCACCAAGGCGAAGAUCUGUAGCGGGUCUGAGAGGAUGAUCCGCCACACUGGGACUGAGACACGGCCCAGACUCCUACGGGAGGCAGCAGUGGGGAAUUUUGGACAAUGGGGGCAACCCUGAUCCAGCCAUGCCGCGUGUAUGAAGAAGGCCUUAGGGUUGUAAAGUACUUUUGUUAGGGAAGAAAAGUCAGCUGUGAAUAAUGGCUGAUACUGACGGUACCUAAAGAAUAAGCACCGGCUAACUACGUGCCAGCAGCCGCGGUAAUACGUAGGGUGCGAGCGUUAAUCGGAAUUAUUGGGCGUAAAGCGAGUGUAGACGGUUAUUUAAGCCAGAUGUGAAAUACCCGAGCCUAACUUGGGAGGUGCAUAUGGAACUGGGUAGCUAGAGUGUGUCAGAGGGAGGUAGAACUCCACGUGUAGCAGUGAAAUGCGUAGAGAUGUGGAAGAAUACCGAUGGCGAAGGCAGCCUCCUGGGAUAACA